rnacentral:tRNA from 1 species
GCCUUCGUGGUGUAAUGGUAGCACACUCGGCCCAUAUUCGAGAGUUCCAGGUACGAGUCCCGGUGAAGGCA